GGGUUCUCAAAAUCAAUGAUUAAAAGAAAUUUAGCCAUUAAGCUCGACAUUGUAGUAUCUUGACCAUUCAGUAGUGUGAAGAGAUAGAAAGAGCUUUUAAGCACUUUCAUCUCUUGUAUCCAACAAAUCAAAUGGUCAGAAUCCCAAAUCAUGUCAAUUUGCUGAGCCUGGAUUCUCAGUUUAAUUAACCACAAAAAUUUUCCUGCAAAAGAAGCAGGCUUGUUUUCCCAUGUUUUUGUUUCAUAUUACAAGAAAGUUGCUUCAACAAGUUUGCCAAAAUAAUUCUUUAACAAGAGAGGAAUCACACACCCACAUGAUGACGAUGAUGAUGAUGAUUUUAAUACUCAAACAUGAUGGAGAACAAGCUGAUUACAUUUGAACACAAAACAAAAAAGAAAUGCUACAGCGGCAGGAAAUAGUGGAACACAUGCAUAUGUAUGCAAGCUGAAACAUUCACUGCAACACAG
rnacentral:misc_RNA from 1 species